CUGGCGGCAGGCCUAACACAUGCAAGUCGAGCGGUAACAGAGAGUAGCUUGCUACUUUGCUGACGAGCGGCGGCGGGUGAGUAAUGCUUGGGGAUCUGCCCAUUCGAGGGGAUAACCAUUGGAAACGAUGGCUAAUACCGCAUACGCCCUACGGGGGAAAGAAGGGGACCUUCGGGCCUUUCGCGAUUGGAUGAACCCAAGUGAGAUUAGCUUGUUGGUGAGGUAAUGGCUCACCAAGGCGACGAUCUCUAACUGGUCUGAGAGGAUGACCAGUCACACUGGGACUGAGACACGGCCCAGACUCCUACGGGAGGCAGCAGUGGGGAAUAUUGGACAAUG
rnacentral:rRNA from 1 species